UCCCCACCUUGUUUUCUGCAGACUGCAACAUGGAAGUCCCAUGCAUUACUCCUAAAGAUAAUCCGGUAGAGAGAUUCAACCACACCAGCAUACACCUUAGUGGGACCUUUUGUUUUUCCCUUAAAGGGAAUCACUCCUGCAUAUGGCUGGGGCGACGAAAUUUGACGUAUGUGGAGAGUACUAAUAGAUUUCUUUUACGUAAUCCUGUGACGUUGAUUAAAGUAUUAAAUAAUCUG